AUAUUAUCGAAUGAAACAGUAAUUAUAAGCAUCGCAAAAAAUAGUAGUAAAAGUAGUAACAAGAAGAACAACAACAGUAAUGCAAACCAGAACUGUGUUGGAACUGUACAGCGGAAUAGGCGGUUUACAUUAUAGCGUAUUACAAUCCUUCAUAAAUUACCUAAAUGAAUCACAAUAUAACGACUUUAAUACAACAGAUAAAAAAAGGAGCACUCAAAAAGUAGGCGUAGAAGAACAAAAUGUAAAAAACAUAAACAACAAAACGGAUACACCUGUGACCAACACACUUGAAGAUGUAUUUCGGUUUUUUUCAUUCGACCUCAAUCCUAAUGCUAAUGAAACAUAUUAUCAUAAUUUUAAAGAGAACUGUAUUUAUUUGAAUGAUAAAAAAAGUAUUAAUAUUUUUUUUAAGAACAUAUGUAUGGACAAGCUGUACAAACAAAAAAAAAAAAAUUUUGAUUUUAGUACAGAAGAUGAGUAUGCAUGUUACAACGCUAAAGGAGGUGAUAAUAUUCAUACUAGUGCUGGUGCCAACCAUUUUGAUAAUAACAAAAAUUAUAUAAUCCAAAUGGAUAUAAAUAAUUUAACUGUUGAUUUUUUUGAACACCAUAAGUUUUAUAUGUUAUUGAUGUCAAACCCGUGUCAACCAUACACAAGGCUCAACCAUAAAUUUAAACAGAUUGAUUUGGAUUGGUUGUUCUCGGAGUACAGCAUUGGGAAAAUAUGUUUAGAAAGCUCAGAUCAAAGGGGCGUAACACAAAAUAAUAUAAAACAAACGGACCAUAUUACUACUACUUCAAUAAAUAACAACAAUAACAAAACAGACAAGGAAAACACUACAAAUAACCUUUACCAUAUUAACAACUUAAAUAUAGAAAAGGCAGUAAAUUUUUUAAACAAAGAAAAAGAUGCUAGGUCAAAUAGUUUUAUACAUGUUUGUAAUUUGUUAAAAAAUAUAAAAGAAGAAAAUUUACCUGAAUAUAUAUUUAUUGAAAAUGUAAAAAACUUUGAA
rnacentral:lncRNA from 1 species